CUACGGGCCGCUGCAGUAAGGAAUAUUGCGCAAUGGAGGCAACUCUGACGCAGCCAUGCCGCGUGCAGGAAGAAGGCCUUAUGGGUCGUAAACUGCUUUUAUUUAGGAAUAAACCCCCGAACGUGUUCGGGGCUGAAGGUACUAAACGAAUAAGCACCGGCUAACUCCGUGGCCAGCAGCCGCGGUAAUACGGAGGGUGCAAGCGUUAUCCGGAUUUAUUGGGUUUAAAGGGUGCGCAGGCGGGCUAUUAAGUCAGUGGUGAAAUCCCGGGGCUCAACUCCGGAACUGCCAUUGAUACUGAUAGUCUUGAGUUUGGUUGAAGUGGGCGGAAUGUAGCAUGUAGCGGUGAAAUGCAUAGAUAUGCUACAGAACACCAAUCGCGAAGGCAGCUCACUAAGCCAAAACUGACGCUCAUGCACGAAAGCGUGGGGAUCAAACAGGAUUAGAUACCCGUGUAGUC
rnacentral:rRNA from 1 species